UUUAGUUCCUCCUUGGCAACACUAAACACCUGAUGUUAAAAUUAGCACCUCAUGAUGAAAUUACAUGGGAAAAAGUGUCCCCGUUAUUAGUUUUAUAUUUACAUAGGUAAGUUUUGAUCGAUCGUCGUCUGUCUUCUCCAUCGGGUAGCAUGUAAUUAAGAUGCUGGAGGGCGAGGAAUUUGCUGGCCUGCGCGCACGUUGCGAUCAUGGAGAAGGACGGCGGCGGCGGGCGCGGGCUGCCGGCGGCGAUGGUGGACGGCGGCGGGCGGGAGAUGGACUCCCCGCGGUUCCGCGCGAUCCUGCGCGCCACCAGCGGGCGCCGGAAGCGCGCACCCGAGGUGAAGAGUUUCUCGCACGAGCUGAGCUCGAGGGGCGGCGGCGGCGGCGUGCCGGCGAUGCGCAAGAUGGUGCGCGGCGGCGGGCUCGGCAGCACCACCCCGGAGGAGUUCAUCGGCGCCAUCCGGACCAAGUUCAUCCGCCUCAAGGAGGAGGUGGACAGCGAGCUGGGCGUCUUCGCGGGGGACCUCGUCGACAUGCUGGCGCGGUCGGGCGACCACCGGGACGACUGUCGCGUCGCGCUGGAGGACCUGCUGGUGGUGGCACAGCGGUGCGCGGAGAUGAGCCCCGAGGAGCUGUGGACCCGCUGCGAGGGCGUAGUGCAGGGCCUCGACGACCGCCGGCAGGACCUCCCCGCAGGCCUCCCGAAGCAGGCGCACACGCGCAUCCUCUUCAUCCUCACGCGCUUCACCCGCCUCCUGCAGUUCCGCAAGGGCGCCGCCGCGGGGUGCCGCUACGCCGCCGACGCCGACGACGACGACAGGCACAACGUGCUCGGCCUGCACAACCUCAGCGACCUCGGCCUCUACCCGAUCCACGUCGACGGCGGGGAUCUCGGCCCCAAGAGCACCUCCAGCCUCACCGAGCUCAAGGAGCGCCUCAUCAGGCGGCGAAUGUUGGAGCACAGGCAGCUCACCGUCGACUUCUCCCCGGCUAGGAUCUUUUCGCCGUUCGGGGACGGGUCGGCCGUUGACGGCCACUCCCCGAGCAGCAAGAUGGCGUCGUGGAAGAAGCUCCCUUCCCCCGCCGAGAAGAACAAGACCGCCGCCGCCGCCGGGGAUGCCACGGCCGCCGCCGCCAAGGGAGACGACAGCCCGUCGAAGAAGAAGCCCAUCACCCGGCACGGCAAGGCGACGGUGGACGAGAUCGUGGAGCGCGUGGACGCGGCGAGCAUCCACAUCCGCCCGGAUGGGCUGGCGUGCUUGGGCGGCGACGAGGCCAUUAGCCUGGAGAUCCCGUCCCGGUACCCGGAGGCGCAGCAGAUCAUGGUGGACGGGAAGCCCCGGAUGAUCUGCCGCAUCUGCGACUUCGAGAUCCCCAUGGCGUGCGCCGAGGGCCACUUCGUGGUGUGCACGCUCGCCGAUCGCUGCGACGCCAAAGGGCACAGCGCGGACCAGCGGCUACUGCGCGUGGCCGAGGUGCUCGACCGCGUGCUCGCGUGCUUCGGCCCCCUCGGCGGCGGGAGGGCGAGCACGUCGUCCGAGUCGGACUCCAACGCCGCCGACCACGAAGCCCUGUCCCACCUGCUGACCGUGCCGUCCACGGAGCUCUUCUCGGAGGGCGCGCUGACGCCGGCGUCGGGGAGCCUGCCGCAGUCGCCGCUGCUGACGCCGCGGACGAGCCACGCGGAGUCGCAGCUGACCAAGCACAGGGCGUUCGCGGAUCUGGAGAGCUCCCAGCAGAUCGAGAGCCUUGUCGCCAUCGCCCGUGGCGUGGAGGGCGUGAAGAGCUCCGAGUACAACUCGCUGGAGGACCUCAGCUCGUACCUGGAGGACCUGAACGCCGUGAUCGACACGCGCAAGGUGGACGCCCUCGUCGUGGAGACGUUCGGGCGGAGGAUCGCCAAGCUCCUGCAGGAGAAGUUCAUGCAGCUGUGCGUGCAGAUCGACGACACGGGCGGCGCGGCGGAGCAGCAGCAGCUGCUGCUGCAGCACCUGCACCCGAUCGACGAGGAGGGCCCGACUACGACGGAGAGCGGCGGCGGGACGACGGCGAGCUCGCGGGCGACGCUGAGCGGCAACAGGUUCAAGGACCGCACGUCCAUCGAGGACUUCGAGAUCAUCAAGCCCAUCAGCCGCGGCGCCUUCGGCCGCGUGUUCCUGGCCAAGAAGAGGGUGACCGGCGACCUGUUCGCCAUCAAGGUGCUCCGGAAGGCGGACAUGAUCCGGAAGAACGCGGUGGAGAGCAUCCUGGCGGAGCGCGACAUCCUCAUCUCCGCGCGCAACCCCUUCGUGGUCCGCUUCUUCUACUCCUUCACGUGCAGGGAGAACCUGUACCUGGUCAUGGAGUACCUCAACGGGGGAGACCUCUACUCCCUGCUCAGGAACCUCGGCUGCCUCGACGAGGACAUGGCCAGGACAUACAUCGCCGAGCUCGUUCUUGCGCUGGAGUACCUGCACUCCAUGAACGUGAUCCACCGCGACCUGAAGCCUGACAACCUGUUGAUCUCUCGCGACGGCCACAUCAAGCUGACCGAUUUCGGGCUCUCCAAAGUGGGCCUGAUCAACAGCACGGACGACCUGUCGGGCCCGGACGUGAGCUGCGCCCUCGUCGGCGAGCACCAGCCGGCGGACGCGGAGCAGCGGGAGCAGAAGCGGCGGCAGCGGCAGAAGCAGGCGGCGGUGGGCACGCCGGACUACCUGGCGCCGGAGAUCCUGCUGGGCAUGGCCCACGGCCCGACUGCGGAUUGGUGGUCGGUUGGCGUCAUCCUGUUCGAGCUGCUGGUGGGGAUUCCUCCCUUCAACGCUGAGCACCCGCAGAUAAUAUUCGACAACAUAAUGAACCGAGAGAUACCCUGGCCACAUGUGCCAGAGGAGCUGAGCUCUGAAGCCUACGAUUUGAUCGACAGGUUGCUGAUGGAGAACCCGGUGCAGAGAUUGGGCGCGACAGGUGCCGGAGAGAGCAGGUGAAGGCUCAUCCGUUCUUCAAGGACAUCAACUGGGACAUGCUUGCCAGGCAGAAGGUCGCGUUCAUCCCUUCCACAGACGACGAGUACGACACGAGCUACUUCGCCUGCCGCCACGCCUGGAGCGGCGCCGGCGAGCAUGGCGGCGCGGCCGGCAGCGACUACGACGACCGGAGCGAGGCCAGCAGCAUGAGCUGCGGCAGCAGUCCGCGCAGUGACUACGAGGAAGAUGGCGAUGAGUGUGGCAGCAUGGAAGAAUUCGGAGCGCCCUUAUCGGUGAAAUACUCUUUCAGCAACUUCUCGUUCAAGAACAUCUCUCAGCUGGCAUCCAUGAACUACGACCUGAUGACGAAGCAUAACAACCUGGAUCCGUUGCAGUCCUCCAGAUGAUUGCGUCAUCGUGUGGCAAUGAAGGGUAGCCAAAGCAAAAUGCUAGUAAAUGUAGCUUGCGCUGAGACCAUGCAUCAUCGAUCAGAAGAUAGGAGGAGGAUGGUAUUGGUAUCCCCUGAUGUAAUCUCUGACAACUAGCUAGCUGCAGAUACAUAGUGCAUUAUAAACCUUCGAUUCUUCAUAGAAAGAAAAGAUGGUGAAUCUCUUUCUUUCUUUCUUGUUUAAGAGAAAUGGUUCACAAAUUGGUAUAAUGGUAAUCUAAACUUAGCCAUA